rnacentral:rRNA from 1 species
AACGAACGCUGGCGGCAGGCUUAACACAUGCAAGUCGAACGCCCCGCAAGGGGAGUGGCGCACGGGUGAGUAAUACAUGGGAACGUGCCUUUCAGUAUGGGAUAACCACGGAAACUGUGGCUAAUACCGUAUAAUGUCUCCGGACCAAAGAUUUAUCGCUGAAAGAUCGGCCCAUGCCAGAUUAGCUAGUUGGUGAGGUAAUGGCUCACCAAGGCUACGAUCUGUAGCUGUUCAGAGAGGAAGACCAGACACUGGAACUGAGACACGGUCCAGACUCCUACGGGAGGCAGCAGUGGGGAAUAUUGGACAAUGGGGGAAACCCUGAUCCAGCCAUGCCGCGUGAGUGAUGAAGGCCUUAGGGUUGUAAAGCUCUUUUGCCAGGGAAGAUGAUGACGGUACCUGGAGAAUAAGCACCGGCUAACUUCGUGCCAGCAGCCGCCGUAA